ACCUAACUGUCACUAUCUUGCCUAGGGCACUGACCCCAAGGACAGUCCGACUUUCUAAAGAUUUUGCCACUGCUGGAGGAGCAGUAGGACCCUUCAACCUUAUGCUCCAAGAGGCCAGGUGGGGACCAGAAGUGGUUUCCGAGCAUGUGGUUAGAGUUCGUGGGAAGAGGAGGAGAAGGAAGGUCAAAGACACUGGAGGAUGUGGCAGCAGCCAAGCAACACGAAGGCUGUCACCGCUCCUGAAACGUCCUGUUUGGAACCACGGAGCCUGUCCCUGCCUGACAGCCCCCCACGCCAUUUCCAGACAUGCCAGAUGGCCUUGCUGACCUGCAUCCACUCAGUUGGAGCAGAAUGAGUCCCGUGUUGGCUUUGGGACAUCUUCUGCCGUGCACAUGGUGAUACCGGAAAGCUGACCUAUCUAGAGCAGAGAAGAAGCAGACACACAGCGAUAAACAGAGUGAUACAGGGCUUCUCGCCACCUGAUGUGAAGAACUGACUCGUUGGAAAAGACCCUGAUGCUGGGAAAGAUUGAAGGCGGGAGGAGAAGGGGACGACAGAGGAGGAGACGGUUGAAUGGCUCAAUGGACGUGAGUUUGAGCAAGCUCCAGGAGUUGGUGAUGGACAGGGAAGCCUGGCAUGCUGCAGUCCAUGGGGUUGCAAAGAGUUGGACACGACUGAGCUGAACUGAACUGAACUGAACCCUCUUGCUGGAGAUUGUGUUGAGGACCAAAGAGGGACAGACAUGAACAAACUAGAAGAUGAACAGGUCUGGAGGCUGGGAAGUCCAAGGUCAAGGUGCUGAUCACUUCCGUUCCUGCUGAGGGCCCUGUGCUUGGCUUAUGGACAGCUACCUUCUCGUCUGUGUGAUCAUUAGCAGAGAGACAGCUCCAGUGUCUCCUUCUCUUCUUACAAUGACACACUAAUCAUAUCGUGGAGGCCGCAUUCUCAUGACCUCAUCUAAACCUAAUUACCUCUCAAAGUCCCCACUACCGAACAUCAUUUUACUAGGGUUAGGGCUUUGACGUAUACAUUUUGGGUGAAAACAAACAUUCUGUCCAUGACAUACAUUUAUUAGGAAAAGAAACUCUCCUUAGUCUCACUCAAGGUCCAGACUUCCUCUUGAAAGAAGAGAUACUCCUUAAGGCUGUGCACUGGGUUAAGUUCUGACCUCCUACUUCCCCAAGGGCAGCCUGCCAUAUUGGAGUUUUUAAAGCAGGCUUUUUCAUAUCCUGGGGUGG
ensembl:lncRNA